rnacentral:rRNA from 1 species
UGAGUAACCUGCCCUUAACUCUGGGAUAAGCCUGGGAAACUGGGUCUAAUACCGGAUAUGACUCCUCAUCGCAUGGUGGGGGUGGAAAGCUUUAUUGUGGUUUUGGAUGGACUCGCGGCCUAUCAGCUUGUUGGUGAGGUAAUGGCUCACCAAGGCGACGACGGGUAGCCGGCCUGAGAGGGCGAUCGGCCACACUGGGACUGAGACACGGCCCAGACUCCUACGGGAGCAG